rfam:Oryza sativa (indica cultivar-group) chromosome 9, whole genome shotgun sequence.
GACUUCAACUGAAAAAUUCAUCAACAACAAAGUUGUAUAACUCAUUAAUAUCUAUAACUUUUAUUUUUGUCAUUUCUUCAUCCGACAAAGUGAUAGUAAUAUUGUUCACAAAAUUUACAUAUCUCUUAUAUGAUUUUAUAAACUGUAAGAGAGAUAUCUAAAUUUCGUGAACAAUGUUACUAUCACUUUGUCGGAUAAAAAAAUGACCAAAAUAAAAGUUAUAGAUAUUGAUGAGUUAUACAAUUUUGUUGUUGAUGACUUUUUCAGUUGAAAUC